UAACAGGAAUUAGCUUGCUAAUUUGCUGACGAGUGGCGCACGGGUGCGUAACGCGUAUACAAUCUACCUUUUGCUGAGGGAUAGCCCAGAGAAAUUUGGAUUAAUACCUCAUGGUAUUAUUGAUAGGCAUCUAUUAAUAAUUAAAGGUUACGGCAAAAGAUGAGUAUGCGUCCCAUUAGCUAGUUGGUGAAGUAACGGUUCACCAAGGCAACGAUGGGUAGGGGCCCUGAGAGGGAGAUCCCCCACACUGGUACUGAGACACGGACCAGACUCC
rnacentral:rRNA from 2 species